UUUUUAUUUCACAGUCAGGUGAUUCAGUGUGAUGCGCACUGAACCAGUGUGGGAUAAUGUUCAGGGACCGUGCAGGAGCUGAACAGUGUUGUGGAACAACAACAGUAUUCAAGGUACAAACACAGAGGAAACAAGUGCAAUGGAGAACAUCAAAGCUAAGUGUUGCCAUUCCCUCAGUACCUGCUCCAGUUUCCACAAGAACUUGACAGGCCGCGCAGCAGCGACGUCGGGCCAGUAGAAGAGAGAGAGGCGACAGCCGUGGACGGACAGGGAGUAGUGGGAGUAGGAGUCGUCUGUAGAGCAGGAGACGGGGAGAGAAACAGAAGAUAAUUGGAGGGAAUUUUCUUGGAAAUCUGACUGGAACUAAUUACGCUGUCUUGUCGGUGGGAGGAGAGUCAGCGGAGGAAAAAUGCUGCUGGUUCUGGACCAGAUCAAACCGCUCUCUGUUCAAAGGCAGAGUUGAGUCCCAGGAAUCUUUUCAGUUGUAAACCCCAAUACUUUUGAUCUGUAUUUUACUGAGGAAUAUUUGAAUGCUUUUUCUAAAUUUAUCUCAGUGCUUAAAAAAAUGUAUUUCCAUUUUGUAGUACUUUAACUCGUUGAAGCAGAGUAAAAAUAUACAAAAUUCUAUAUUUAUGUACUUUUUAAUCAACUAAAUUGAGUAACUACAACAUUAAAAUUCUGCUUUAGAACAACUUAAACUUUUUGAGACUCAAAAGAAAUGUUGCUGAUGUUUCUACUUGCCAAAUUUUUUUUUUUUAAAUACAACUUUUUGCCUGUACCUCUGGAGCACUUAGGUCAUCAUUUGAUCAAUCAAUGGAAUAAAAAUAAAACAAUUACUCAUUUUGAUGAUUGAUUUGUGAAUCAUGACUUGUGGAGACUUGCUGUUUUCCUUUAGUCU